UACAGAGGUCUCAAGCGUUGUUCGGAUUCAUUGGGCGUAAAGGGUGCGUAGGUGGCGCGCUAAGUCAGGUGUGAAAUUUCGGAGCUUAACUCCGAAACUGCAUUUGAUACUGGCGUGCUUGAGGACUGGAGAGGAGACUGGAAUUUACGGUGUAGCGGUGAAAUGCGUAGAUAUCGGAAGGAACAUCAGUGGCGAAAGCGACUUCCUGGACCAGUACCGACGUUCAGGCACGAAAGCGUGGGGAGCAAACAGG
rnacentral:rRNA from 1 species